rnacentral:rRNA from 1 species
UACGUAGGUGGCAAGCGUUGUCCGGAAUUACUGGGCGUAAAGGGCGUGUAGGCGGCGAUUUAAGUCAGAUGCGAAAGAUCAGGGCUUAACCCUGGAGGUGCAUUUGAGACUGGAUGGCUUGAGGACCGGAGAGGGCAGUGGAAUUCCCAGUGUAGCGGUGAAAUGCGUAGAUAUUGGGAGGAACACCAGUGGCGAAGGCGACUGCCUGGACGGCACCUGACGCUGAGGCGCGAAAGCUAGGGGAGCAAACGGG